UUAGCUCUCUUUGCCUUUUGGCUUAGAUCAAGUGUAGUAUCUGUUCUUUUCAGUUUAAUCUCUGUUACGUCUCUACUUGAGACAAUCUUUGAUUAUUCCUAUUUUUGGCCAUCGGGUGGCUUCCUCUGUGCUUGCGCAUGGGGCCGCUCACUGUGUCCCUGGUAUUACACUACCUCCAGGUGAUGCGAACUUGG
rnacentral:snRNA from 1 species